AGGCAGCCUAUUUAUACAAUAAUUUUAAAAUAGGAAUAUUCUAAAGUAGGAAAUUAGAAUAUUCAAAAUAUAAAUGCUUAUUUUACAACCUUAAUUAGGUACCCUAAUUAUAGCGCUAACUAGGAAAUAUACAAUAAAGAAAAAAAAAAUCCUAAAUAGUAAGAAUAUUAUCAGUACUCCCCCUCAAGAUGGUGCAUAUAUAUCUUGCAUGCCCAUCUUGCAAAUGUGUGUGAAUCCUUAAUCUUAUGGAUUAAGUUGUAAGACUUUUCGUAGUGUAUUCCACAAAACUUGGUACUAGAAUGUUACAUAUCAACCUGCACACUUACUAAAAUAGAGAAAUAAGGAGAGAGAGAUAGAAAUAGAUGA
rnacentral:misc_RNA from 1 species